CGCCUUUUGAAGUAUAAACAUAAAAGGUCCUGCCUGCCCAAUGACUUGUUUCAAUGGCCGCGGUAUUAUGACCGUGCAAAGGUAGCGUAAUCAUUUGUCUUCUAAAUAAAGACCAGUAUGAAUGGCUAGACGAAAGCCUUACUGUCUCCCUAGCCCAGUCAAUGAAAUUGAUCUCCCCGUGCAGAAGCGGGGAUAAUGAUAUAAGACGAGAAGACCCUGCGGAGCUUUAAACUCUAGUUUUAGGUUGGGGCGACCAUGAGGUACAACAUAACCCUCACGACAUGUAACAAAGAAGGACACUUCAAAUAUUGACCCAACAAUUGAUCAACGAACCAAGUUACCCCAGGGAUAACAGCGCAAUCCGCUCAAAAAGUCCAUAUUAACGAGCAGGUUUACGACCUCGAUGUUGGAUCAGGACACCCAAAUAGUGCAACAGCCAUUAAAGGUUCGUUUGUUCAACGAUUAAAGUCCU
rnacentral:rRNA from 1 species